GACGAACGCUGCCGCGGGGCUUACCCCUGCCAGGCCAAACGGAAGGGCCCGGCUUUUUGGGGGGCCCGGAGGGCCAAACGGUGGGGUAACACGUGGUAAACUUGCCCUGGACUUGGGGUUACUUCAGGGAACCGGGGCCUAUAACGGAUAAGAGGCUCCUCCGCCAGGGUGGGGGUGGGAAGGUUUCGGCGGUUGGGGAUGGACCCGCGGCUUAUCAGCUUGUUGGUGGGGUAGUGGCUUACCAAGGCUUUGACGGGUAGCCGGCCUGAGAGGGUGACCGGCCACAUUGGGACUGAGAUACGGCCCAGACUCCUACGGGAGGCAGCAGUGGGGAAUAUUGCACAAUGGGCGGAAGCCUGAUGCAGCAACGCCGCGUGCGGGAUGACGGCCUUCGGGUUGUAAACCGCUUUCGCCUGUGACGAAGCGUGAGUGACGGUAAUGGGUAAAGAAGCACCGGCUAACUACGUG
rnacentral:rRNA from 1 species